rnacentral:piRNA from 1 species
UGCCAAGGUUUACGUCAUGAGUAGAUCAAGU